rnacentral:rRNA from 1 species
AGUGAACGCUGGCGGUAGGCCUAACACAUGCAAGUCGAACGGCAGCACAGUAAGAGCUUGCUCUUACGGGUGGCGAGUGGCGGACGGGUGAGGAAUACAUCGGAAUCUACUUUUUCGUGGGGGAUAACGUAGGGAAACUUACGCUAAUACCGCAUACGACCUACGGGUGAAAGCAGGGGAGCUUCGGACCUUGCGCGUUUCAAUGAGCCGAUGUCGGAUUAGCUAGUUGGCGGGGUAAAGGCCCACCAAGGCGACGAUCCGUAGCUGGUCUGAGAGGAUGAUCAGCCACACUGGAACUGAGACACGGUCCAGACUCCUACGGGAGGCAGCAGUGGGGAAUAUUGGACAAUGGGCGCAAGCCUGAUCCAGCCAUACCGCGUGAGUGAAGAAGGCCUUCGGGUUGUAAAGCCCUUUUGUUGGGAAAGAAAAGCAGCAGGUUAAUACCCCGCUGUUCUGACGGUACCCAAAGAAUAAGCACCGGCUAACUUCGUG